rnacentral:lncRNA from 1 species
GGGGCUUCUCCUUGAGGAUCCAACAAAAUAGUAACCUAGUAACUUUUCUGACAGUUAAAAAAGACAAGGCGUAAAAGUAGGAAGCGCUUGUCUUCAAACCUAACAAGUUCUGUAAACACCUACCACAAGUUCUGUAGACACGUGAUAAAAAGAAAAAAAAAUGAAGAAUUAAAAAAAAGUACAACAAAUACAAUGUCCUGUAUGUUUUAUACUCUAUAUUUUAAUGAAAUUUUUGUUCUUUGAUUUAUAAUAUUCUUUUAUCUUUUAUGUUUUCUUAUAUAAAAUGAGUUGUAAGUAUUUUAACAAAGACAUAUUUAUUUCUAUAUUGUAAAUAUAAUUUUGAAAUAAAGCAAUUAAAAUUAUAUAAAAUACAGAACAUGAGGGUUUUUAAAAAUAUAAAAAGUAGGAAUAAAAAAUAUAUAUAUAAUGUCCUGUAUUUUGUUGUACUGUAUGUUUUCAUAUAUUCUGUAUUUUAUGUGUUUAUGUUUGCAUUCUAUUAUAUAUAUUAAUGUUCUAUAAUUUUAUUUUGUUUUUAAAAAUAUUUAUGUUUUUAUAAUUUUAUUUUGUAGUAUUUAACAUUUUAAUUCUUUUAGUUCUGUAUUUUCAGUACAGAACACAUAUACAAUGUCCUGUAUUUUAUUUUAUAUAAAAUACAAUAAAAUUUAUAUUGUAAAAAUUAAAAUAUAAUAAAAAGUUACAGAACACAUAUGUAUUUUUAAAAUAAAAAGAGUAAAAUAUAAAUGAAAGUAAAGAAUAUAAUUUUUUAAAUAUAAAAGUGGGCAUUAGUUUUGAUUGUAGACGUGGGUCACGUGUCUCAUGACACUAGUUACCAACUGCACAGUAAUCUAAUCCACAUAUAAUCGUGCGGCUGAUAUGUGUAGUUACCAGGUUACUCAGAUAACUUAGUUCCUCAUUGAACCAUCCCAUAUAUAUAUAUAUAUAUA